rnacentral:rRNA from 1 species
UACAGAGGUCUCGAGCGUUAGGCGGAAUCAGCUGGGCUUAAAGCGUGUGUAGGCGGAUCGUUAAGUGCCUUGUGAAAUCCCACGGCUCAACCGUGGAACUGCUUGGCAUACUGGCGGUCUUGAGCAACCUAGGGGCGAGCGGAACAAAUGGUGGAGCGGUGAAAAUGCGUAGAUAUCAUUUGGAACGCCAAUGGUGAAAACAGCUCGCUGGGGGUUUGCUGACGCUGAGACACGAAAGCCAGGGGAGCAAACGGG